rnacentral:rRNA from 3 species
GGGUGGUAAUGCCGGAUGCUCCAGUUGAUCGCAUGGUCUUCUGGGAAAGCUUUCGCGGUAUGGGAUGGGGUCGCGUCCUAUCAGCUUGACGGCGGGGUAACGGCCCACCGUGGCUUCGACGGGUAGCCGGCCUGAGAGGGCGACCGGCCACAUUGGGACUGAGAUACGGCCCAGACUCCUACGGGAGGCAGCAGUGGGGAAUAUUGCACAAUGGGCGCAAGCCUGAUGCAGCGACGCCGCGUGAGGGAUGGAGGCCUUCGGGUUGUAAACCUCUUUUAUCGGGGAGCAAGCGAGAGUGAGUUUACCCGUUGAAUAAGCACCGGCUAACUACGUGCCAGCAGCCGCGGUAAUACGUAGGGUGCAAGCGUUAUCCGGAAUUAUUGGGCGUAAAGGGCUCGUAGGCGGUUCGUCGCGUCCGGUGUGAAAGUCCAUCGCUUAACGGUGGAUCCGCGCCGGGUACGGGCGGGCUUGAGUGCGGUAGGGGAGACUGGAAUUCCCGGUGUAACGGUGGAAUGUGUAGAUAUCGGAAAGAACACCA